rfam:Anaeroglobus geminatus F0357 genomic scaffold Scfld59, whole genome shotgun sequence.
ACAAGGUUAUGUAACUGACGGAAGUGGAACAACCACGGGGAGCAUAAUCAUGUUUCGAGCCGACCGUCUGGGCUGAGAUU